rnacentral:rRNA from 1 species
AGCAGCCGCGGUAAUUCCAGCUCCAAUAGCGUAUAUUAAAGUUGUUGCAGUUAAAAAGCUCGUAGUUGAAUUUCGGGGUCAAUACGUCGGUCGUGCCUUCGGUACGUACUGGUGUUAUUGAUCUCUCCCUUCUGAUGAAUCAUGAUGUCAUUAAUUUGGUGUCGUGGGGAGUCAGGACUGUUACUUUGAAAAAAUUAGAGUGUUUAAAGCAGGCUAACGCUUGAAUACAUUAGCAUGGAAUAAUGAAAUAGGACGAGCGAUCCUAUUUUGUUGGUUUCUAGGAUUGACGUAAUGAUUAAUAGGGAUAGUUGGGGGCAUUAGUAUUCAAUUGUCAGAGGUGAAAUUCUUGGAUUUAUUGAAGACUAACUACUGCGAAAGCAUUUGCCAAGGAUGUUUUCAUUAAUCAAGAACGAAAGUUAGGGGAUCGAAGACGAUCAGAUACCGUCGUAG